rnacentral:lncRNA from 1 species
CAUGUCUUAAAUUCUGGAAUUUUUAGGUUUAGAGUUGAUAAAGACAAACGAAGAAGUCAAUGAAAGGUUGUUGAAAAGCAAAAAAGAUCCACCAUGUGUCUACUGAUUUUUCUCAUGUUGAACAACAUUAGUACUCAGGUGAUGGCGAGGAUCUUAAAUGCGAUUGCUUGUUCUGCUUGACGAGUUUCGCCACAUUCCCUGCUGGUCAAGUGUUCUACAACUUCACCUUACGGUUCAAGGACUCACCAGAUGGAACUGACUUCUCUUUCUCCUUUACUUUUCCCUAAGACCACACUUAUUGGUAACUGAUGACGCAUUCCAAAAUCAAGUAACUGAUGACACAGAUUUCAACCAUGUUGCUAUUAACAUCAAUAGCUUAAUAUCUGAGAAACAUCAAUACGCUUUGGUUACCUCAAAGAUGAUGCUACUAUCAAGAACCUUGAUCUAGUCA